rnacentral:misc_RNA from 1 species
AUUGUGUAAUAAAUGUUUGGAGGAAUGCUACACUAGAAGUUUGCGCAUUCAACCGCACACUCCUAGGACACCAUGCACCGAAGCCAUAAAUCUUAGACAAGUCCAGAUUUUAUGUUAUUGUGCCGAGUUCAAUAUUCUGGGAUCAGUAAUACAGGAUAACUACUACGCAGAUUGUACGAAGCAUGAUCCGCCAUGUCCAUCAGUUUACAACUCGGCGGAGGCAUAUAAAUGUAAGUUACAGAAUACACAUCAGACUGUUUUUUUAUUUAUUAUUGAUUGAAAUAUCAUACUGUAAUUAUAUAUAUUUACAUUUUCCAGUGUCCUUAUCUGCAAUAACACUACGAAUCGAUUUUGUAAUGUAUUCUCUAGUACUUUUCAUCAAUACUAAUAUAUGCUGGAAAUAAUAUCAAUAUAAGCAACGAGGAAUCUUGUUUUAAUAUUAUGAUCAAAAGGAUGGUGUGAUCAAAUCUAGCUUAAAGCAGUUCGGGAUUUAUUGGAUUUAAUUCCACCUGACCGUGUUUGAUCACCUCAUUAUACUCAUGCAAAGAUUGAUUUUUUUAUUUCUUAAAUUUAUUUAGUAAUCUUUUCGUAAGUUCUAUUGUCGAUACAACGACCUUGUCAGCAAAUACAAACUUCCACUGGGUCGCAUGCUGACUGACGUUUUUCAUACUAAUUGUUAGACCAUAAUUGAUCACCUAAUUGUCUACUGACUUUUCCGAUUUUUUCCCCCGAUAACGACUAAGAGCACACGGCGGGUGUGACCGGUCAGCAGACGAUGCUCAAUUCUCCUAGGCACCUGAUCCUACCUCAAUCUAUUUGGAGGUCCGUGUUGCGCUGCUUUGAAUUUGUAUUUCGUUUUAUGGAUUUUUGAGAUGGUUCACGAUCAAAGCUGCUACAAAUUGGUUGAGCAAAAUGAAAGAAACACUAAGAUAAUUUCGGCAGCUAAAAGGACAAGUGGAAAUCUUACAACACCUUUUAUCUCCAUCUUUUUCCGAUUCAUCAUUAGAAAAUUGUUACAUAUAUGAACUUUUUAAUGUAAUACUAGAUUUUAAACUCCAUUUUAUUAUAUGAGUUGCAGAAUUCUACGAACGUUUGUUGUCAAUUCUGUAUAUUCUGAUAUUCAUUGAUAAGGCAUCUUGUGUAACAACGGUUUUUUAAAAUCAUAUUUAUGUCUGUAAAUGAUGGUUUUACUGUAUUAAAUGCAAUACAAAUGUCAUAUCAAAUGUUCAUAUGAAAAAAUAAGUUUUUUAAAAACUAUUUAACGCUCUCGUAUUAAUAAUAAAAUGUGACCUCUGUUUGCUUAAGAUUUUAAAUUUUUUAUUACACUAUUUAAAAAUUGAACCCUCUGUUCCCAAAUGUAGUCUCUCAAUAGAUAUAAAAAAAUAUAAUACAUGUACAUGUAGCUGGCAUCUAUAUUUUAAUCAUUAUUAAUAUUAUAAAUCUAGCGCGCAUAUUUUGAUUUACGCAUUUUCUUCUUUACAAUCUACAAACAUGCAUUUUGUUUAAACUUGGACUGUCCAAUCUCUACCACAUUUGCUAUUUUUUAGAUUAUCGAAAUUGUUAGAUUUUGUACUUGAUUCUUUUUUUCUAUAGCAUAUUAAAAUAGCUUAUCAAAAGUUAAAGUCAUUUGACAUACAUGUAUAAUCAGUUAGACAUUGAUCUUUAUGAAAUAAAUUGCUUUAAUUAAG